CCGUCAUGUCCUGAAGGAGAGGAAUAGUUUAAAGUUUGAACGGUUGAAAUCGCACAAAGUGGAGAAGAGUUAUAAAGUGCCAAAAAAUGGCGGAAGAAAAAUAAUAAUAACUAGAAAAUUUGCAUUUCCUUGCAGAAAAUGCGUGGAAAUGCUGAGUGCUGAAAGCUGAAAAAGCAAUGCUAAACUGCUAAUAAAACAUGGAGAAAGGUAUAAAUGUAAAAGCUGUUGAAGGGGUAAAAAAAUAUAUAUAAGUUAAAUAAUUGUGAAAAUGGUUGGAGGAUAAAUAGUAUGAAUAUGCUCCUCAAAUUGAAAUUUGAUUCAUGCUGAUAGAGGCUGGAAAAUGUUCUACAAUUACACAAAGUUUGAAUGAAGAAGUAAAUUACCUUAAAAGGCAAGUAAGUGAAAAGUGGCAUAAGUUUAAGUUGUAGUACUAGAAGUAGUAUGAUAAUAGGUAGUUGUAGUAGUGAUAUUAGUAGUCAUGUAAGCAGUAGAAGUAGUUUUAGAAUUGAAGAAGUAGAAGUCAAAGCAGUAGAGCUCGUGGUAGAAGUAAGAGUAGAAGUAAAAAAAUAUUAAGAGAAGCAAGAGCAGUGGAGGUGGAAGUGAAGAUACAAGUUAAGGUGACAUAAGUAGUAAUUGUAGUGGUAGAACUGGGAUUUUGCUUGAAGAAUUAAAAAAUACAUAAAUAAUGAGAAUGAUUUUGAAGUGGGAAAAACUCAAAAAAUUAGACGUCCUAAUGUGUUUAACAGGUUUGAAGUAUCCCAAAGGUUUGAAUCAGUUUGAAUGAGUUUGGAUUUGUCUGAAGAAUUUCAUAAUGCAUGAAUAAUGAGAAUAAUUUUAAAGUGGGAAAAAGUUAAAUGAAUAAAAAUCCUGAGUACACCCCAUAUUGUCCUCAAUGAGCUGAAUUUUUGGAGCCCUGAAUGGUUUCUGUAGGUCAAAGUUUGUAGUCCUCGCUUUGUGGGUCUUUUCUCAUAGACCUCGCAAAGCAGCAAGUACAAGAUUUUGUGUGUGUGUCUCGUUAAUGACUGCAUCCUAAACAGCUGUGAGAUCAAAGGCAUUAACUGACCUACUGUUUGACUGAGAAGCAGCUGAACUGCAGAGGAUGUAAAGCCUCUGAACUUCUUCACAUAGCGUGAUUUCCUUAAGUCCCAGAAUGAAAAUAAGAACAUUGUACGAAUCCUCCGCCCUUCAUGAACACAAUGAUGUGUUUUUCAUGUCUGUACUCCAAGAAAUGUGGCCACAACAGUGAGUUAAAAAAGUCUGAGCCUGAGUGGCGAUAAGGAUUUUCUUGGAGAAAAAAUACAUUAGGGCUAAUGGGAGAGAUUUCCGCCUAUUUGAACAGUUGGUCACCUGCUGGCCAAGGGGUAGGAUUUAAUGAUUUGAAACCUCUUUUGUGAGAAGCAGGACACAUAUACCUCCAUUUUGAUGUAUUUUUUAUGUCUGUGGAGUGAGAUUUGUAGGCGUGGGAGCGAUAUAUUCGAGCGAGGUUCUGUCGAUCAGAGACGAAGUCUGCACUCUAGCUUUUCAAAUUGUCACUCUAGCCUCUCCAAUACACACCCAUUAUAAAGCUUGAAAUUUGCUGAAAACCACAAGUUGCUUAAAGCUAAAUUGUGGAAGAACUGUAAAAGAUAUCAAAAAACUGACUACAACUGUAAUAGUCGACAAGACAAUGAACAUUUUAAAGCAAAAAUGAGGUCUCUAGGUGAAAGUAUGCAGAAGUUAUAAGGUUCAGAAGGUGGAAGAAUAACAGGAAGAAUUGGAAGAUUUCCCCAUUGACUUCAAUGUUAAAAUUUUUGCAUAAAAAGUUAAAAAAAUCAAAAAGUAUAAAGGGUAGAAAAGUGAAAAGUAAUCGCCGUCAUGUCCUGAAGGAGAGGAAUAGUUUAAAGUUUGAACGGUUGAAAUCGCACAAAGUGGAGAAGAGUUAUAAAGUGCCAAAAAAUGGCGGAAGAAAAAUAAUAAUAAUAACUAGAAAAAUUGCAUUUCCUUGCAGAAAAUGCGUGGAAAUGCUGAGUGCUGAAAGCUGAAAAAGCAAUGCUAAACUGCUCAUAAAACAUGGAGAAAGGUAUAAAUGUUAAAGCUGUUGAAGGGGUGAGAAAGAAAUGUAAGUUGGAUAAUUGAUUAAUUGGUUGAAGGACAAAUAGUAUGAAUAUGCUCUAUAAAUGGAAGUUUUAUUCAUGCUGAAAGAGGCUAGAAAAAUGUCUACAAUUGCACAAAGUUUGAAUGAAGAAGGAAACUGCCUUAAAAGGCAGGAAGGUGAGAAGUGGCAUAAGUUUAAGUUGUAGUACUAGAAGUAGUAUAAUAGGUCAAGUCGUGAUACUAGUAGUCAUGUCAGCAGUAGAAGUAGUUUGAGAAUAAAAGAAGUAUAAAUCACAAUAGUAGAGAAAGUAGAAAUAGGAGCAAUAGCAGUUGAAGUAGAGGGGAUAGUACUAGUUUAAUUGACAUUAGCGGUAGUUGUCGUACUUGAGGUAGGAUUUUGUUUGAAGGAUGGAGUAAAGCAUAAAUAUUAAAACUUAUUUCAAACAGGGAAAAUUUAAAUAAUUAAAAAUCCUCAAGUAUCAGAAAGUUUUAAAGUAUUAGAAAGGUUUGAAUCAGUUUGAAUGAGUUUAAAUUAGUUUGAAAAAUUAAAUGAUAAAUCAUCACUGAGUGACUUUAAAAUGUGAAAAAUUUAAAUGAAUAUAAAUCCUGAAUACACCCCAUAAUGUCCUCAAUGAGCUUAAAUUUUAAAGCCCUGAAUGGUUUCUGUAGGUCAAAGGUCAUGUGAGGAGAUAGGGGCUGAAGUUUUUUCAAGCGCUCUAGGAAAGGGUUUUAAGUGUCAUCCCCAGUGCUAUGUGUACUGAGCCUGGCUUCAUGUGUCUCAUAUGGCCACUAGAAGCAGCUUUCCAGUCAGCUGUGUGUCUCCAGGUGCACAAAUUGGUUGCCAUGGGGACCUUGGAUGCAUAACUAUAGCAGGAGAAAGAAGGCUUGAAGCUAAAGAAACAGGACUCCAAGAAGGCCCUGACGCUCACCCUCUGUAUAUAUUCAUAAGGAGCUUGUGAGAACACAAGACUCUGCUGAACACAUUAAUACAAUUUAUCACAAUCCUCAAAACACCCCAUAAUAUCUUCAAUGAGCUGAAUUUUUGAAGCCCAGAAUGGUUUCUGUAGCUCAAAGUUUGUGGGUGGAGAUAGGUGGCGAAGCAGACACAUAUUAACUGUGUGUACAAGCAGCUGAACUGCGAGGUGGACCUAAAAAAGCAACAAGUACAAGAAUGUGUGUGUGUGUGUGUCUCGUUAAUGACUGCAUCCUAAACAGCUGUGAGAUCAAAGGCAAAUCACUAACCUACUGUUUGACUGAGAGGUGCUGAACUGCAGUGAAUUUCAGCCUGUGAACUUCUUCACAUAGCGUGAUUUCCUUAAGUCCCAGAAUGAAAAUAAGAACAUCGUACGAAUCCUCCGUCCUUCAUGAACACAAUGAUGUGUUUUUCAUGUCUGUACUUCGAAAAAUGAGGCCACAACAGCGAGUUAAAAAAGUCUGAGCUUGAGCGAUGAUCCGGAUUUUCUUGGAGAAAAAUAACAUUACAGUCAAUGGGAGAGAUUUCCGCCUUUUUUGGACAGUUGGUCACCUGCUGGCCAAGGGGUACGAUUUAAUGAUUUGAAACCUCUUUUGUGAGAAGCAGGACACAUAUACCUCCAUUUUGAUGUAUUAUUUGUGUCAGUGGAGUGAGAUUUGUGGGCGUGGGAGCGAUAUAUUCGAGCGAGGUUCUGUCGAUCAGAGACGAGGUCUGCACUCUAGCUGAUGACAUCAUCACUCUAAACUCUCCAAUACACACCCAUUAUAAAGCUUGAAAUUUGCUGAAAACCACAAGUUGCUUAAAGCUAAAUUGUGGAAAAACUGUAAGAGAUAUCAAAAAACUGAGUACAACUGUAAUAGUCGACAAGUGAAUGAACAUUUUAAAGCAAAAAUGAGGUCUCUAGGUGAAAGUAUGCAGAAGUUACAAGGUUCAGAAGGUGGAAGAAAAACAGGAAGAAUUGGAAGAUUUCCCCAUUGACUUCAAUGUUAAAAUUUUUGCAUAAAAAGUUAAAAAAAUCAAAAAGUAUAAAGGGUAGAAAAGUGAAAAGUAAUCGCCGUCAUGUCCUGAAGGAGAGGAAUAGUUUAAAGUUUGAACGGUUGAAAUCGCACAAAGUGGAGAAGAGUUAUAAAGUGCCAAAAAAUGGCGGAAGAAAAAUAAUAAUAAUAAUAAUAAUAAUAAAGAAACAGGAGAAUAACAAUAAGUGGAAAUGCCUAUCAGCAUUUCCACUUAAUAACUAGAAAAAUUGCAUUUCCUUGCAGAAAAUGCGUGGAAAUGCUGAGUGCUGAAAGCUGAAAAAGCAAUGCUAAACUGCUAAUAAAACAUGGAGAAAGGUAUAAAUGUUAAAGCUGUUGAAGGGGUGAAAAAGAAAUAUAAGUUGGAUAAUAGUUUAAUUGGUUGAAGGACAAAUAGUAUGAAUAUGCUCUAUAAAAGGAAAUUUUAUUCAUGCUGAAAGAGGCUAGAAAAAUGUCUAAAAUUGCACAAAGUUUGAAUGAAGAAGGAAACUGCCUUUAAAGGCAGGAAGGUGAGAAGUGGCACAAGUUUAAGUUGUAGUACUAGAAGAAGUAUGAUAAGAAGUCAAGUCGUGAUACUAGUAGUCAUGUCAGCAGUAGAAGUAGAUUGAGAAUAAAAGAAGUAUAAGUCAAAGUAGUAAAGAAAGUAGAAAUAGUAGCAAUAGCAGCAGUAGAGAAAGUAGAAAUAGGAGCAAUAGCAGUUGAAGUAGAGGGGAAAGUUCUAGUUUAAUUGACAUAAGUAGUUGUAGUACUAGAGGUAGGAUUUUGUUUGAAGGACGGAUUAAUGCAUAAAUAUUAAAAAUAAUAUAAAACAGGGAAAAUUUUAUUAAUUAAAAAUCCUCAAGUAUCAGACAGUUUUUAAGUAUUAGAAAGGUUUGAAUCAUUUUGAAUGAGUUUAAAUUAGUUUGAAAAAUUAAAUGAUAAAUUAUCACUGAGUGACUUUAAAAUGUGAAACAUUUAAAUGAAUAUAAAUCCUAAAUACACCCCAUAAUGUCCUCAAUGAGCUUAAAUUUUAAAGCCCUGAAUGGUUUCUGUAGGUCAAAGGUCAUGUGAGGAGAUAGGGGCUGAAGGUUUUUCAAGCGCUCUAGGAAAGGGUUUUAAGUGUCAUCCCCAGUGCUAUGUGUACUGAGCCUGGCUUCAUGUGUCUCAUAUGGCUAUUAGAAGCAGCUUUCCAGUCAGCUGUGUGUCUCCAGGUGCACAAAUUGGUUGCCAUGGGGACCUUGGAUGAAUAACUAUAGCAGGAGAAAGAAGGCUUGAAGCUAAGGAAACAGGACUCCAAGUAGGCCCUGACGCUCAUCCUCUGUAUAAAUUCAUAAGGAGCUUGUGAGAACACAAGAUUUUGCUGAACACAUUAAUACAAUUUAUUAUCACAAUCCUCAAAACACCCCAUAAUAUCUUCAAUGAGCUGAAUUUUUCAAGCCCAGAAUGGUUUCUGUAGCUCAAAGUUUGUGGGCGGAGAUAGGUGGUGAAGCAGACACAUAUUAUCUGUGUGUACAAGCAGGUGAACUGCAAGGUAGACCUGACAAUGCAACAAGUACAAGAAUGUGUGUGUGUGUGUGUGUGUGUGUGUGUGUGUCUCAUUAAUGACUGCAUCCCUAACAGCUGUGAGAUCAAAGGCAAAUCACUGACCUACUGUUUGAAUGACAAGCAGCUGAACAGCAGAGGAUUAGAAGCCUGUGAACUUCUUCACAUAGCGUGAUUUCCUUAAGUCCCAGAAUGAAAAUAAGAACAUCGUACGAAUCCUCCGCCCUUCAUGAACACAAUGAUGUCUUUUUCAUGUCUGUACUCCGAAAAAUGUGGCCACAACAGCGAGUUAAAAAAGUCUGAGCCUGAGUGACGAUAAGGAUUUUCUUGGAGAAGAAAUACAUUAGGGCCAAUGGGGAGAUAUUUGCGCCUAUCUGGACAGUUGGUCACCUGCUGGCCAAGGGGUACGAUUUAAUGAUUUGAAACCUCUUUUGUGAGAAGCAGGACACAUAUACCUCCAUUUUGAUGUAUUAUUUGUGUCAGUGGAGUGAGAUUUGUGGGCGUGGGAGCGAUAUAUUCGAGCGAGGUUCUGUCGAUCAGAGACGAGGUCUGCACUCUAGCUGAUGACAUCAUCACUCUAAACUCUCCAAUACACACCCAUUAUAAAGCUUGAAAUUAGCUGAAAAACACAAGUUGCAUAAAGCUAAAUUGUGGAAAAACUGUAAAAGAUAUCAAAAAACUGAGUACAACUAUAAUAGUCGACAAGUGAAUGAACAUUUUAAAGCAAAAAUGAGGUCUCUAGGUGAAAGUAUGCUGAAGUUAUAAGGUCUAGAAGGUGGAAGAAUGAAAGGAAGAAGUUGAAGAUUUCCUCAUUGACUUCAAUGUUAAAAUUUUUGCACAAAAAGUUAAAAAAAACAAAAAGUAUAAAGGGUAGAAAGAAAAAAAAUACACGCCAUCAUGUCCUGAAGGAGUGGAAUAGUUUAAAGUUUGAAUGGUUGAAAUCGGACAAAGUUUGAAGGAGGAGAAGCGCGGCAAAAAUCGGCGGAAGAAUAAUAAUAACUAGAAAAAUUGCAUUUCCUUGCAGAAAAUGCGUGGAAAUGCUGAGUGCUGAAAGCUGAAAAAGCAAUGCUAAACUGCUAAUAAAACAUGGAGAAAGGUAUAAAUGUUAAGGCUGUUGAAGGAGUGAAAAAGAAAUAUAGGUUGGACAAUUGUUUAAUUGGUUGAAGGACAAAUAGUAUGAAUAUGCUCUAUAAAAGGAAAUUUUAUUCAUGCUGAAAGAGGCUAGAAAAAUGUCUAAAAUUGCACAAAGUUUGAAUGAAAAAGGAAAUUGCCUUAAAAGGCAGGAAGGUGAGAAGUGGAAUAAGUCUAAGUUUUUAUGUAUUAGAAAGGUUUGAAUCAGUUUGAAUGAGUUUAAAUUAGUUAGAAAAAUUAAAUGAUAAAUCAUCACCGAGUGACUUAUAAAAGUGAAAAAUUUAAAUGAAUAUAAAUCUGAAUACACUCCAUAGUGUCCUCAAUGAGCUUAAAUUUUAAAGUCCUGAAUGGUUUCUGUAGGUCAAAGGUCAUGUGAGGACAUAGGGGCUGACGUUUUUUCAAACGCUCUAGGAAAGGGUUUUAAGUGUCAUCCCCAGUGCUAUGUGUACUGAGCUUGGCUUCAUGUGUCUCAUAUGGCCAUUAGAAGCAGCUUUCCAGUCAGCUGUGUGUCUCCAGGUGCACAAAUUGGUUGCCAUGGGGACCUUGGAUGCAUGACUUUAGCAGGAGAAAGAAGGCUUGAAGCUAAGGAAACAGGACUCCAAGUAGGCCCUGACGCUCAUCCUCUGUAUAUAUAUUAAUAAGGAGCUUGUGAGAACACAAGACUCUGCUGAACACAUUAAUACAAUUUAUUAUCACAAUCCUCAAAACACCCCAUAAUAUCUUCAGUGAGCUGAAUAUUUGAAGCCCAGAAUGGUUUCUGUAGCUCAAAGUUUGUGGGUGGAGAUAGGUGGCGAAGCAGACACAUAUCAACUGUGUGUACAAGCAGCUCAACUGCAAGGUAGACCUCAUAAAGCAACAAGUACAAGAAUGUGUGUGUGUGUGUGUGUGUGUCUCGUUAAUGACUGCAUCCUAAACAGCUGUGAGAUCAAAGGCAAAUCACUAACCUACUGUUUGACUGAGAGGUGCUGAACUGCAGUGAACUUAGGGCCUGUGAACUUCUUCACAUAGCGUGAUUUCCUUAAAUCCCAGAAUGAAAAUAAGAACAUUGUACGAAUCCUCCGUCCUUCAUGAACACAAUGAUGUGUUUUUUAUGUCUCUACUCCGAAAAAUGUGGCCACAACAGCGAGUUAAAAAGUCUGAGCCUGAGUGGCGAUAAGGAUUUUCUUGGAGAAAAAAUACAUUAGGGCCAAUGGGGAGAGAUUUCCGCCUAUUUGGACAGUUGGUCACCUGCUGGCCAAGGGGUAGGAUUUAAUGAUUUGAAACCUCUUUUGUGAGAAGCAGGACACAUAUACCUCCAUUUUGAUGUAUUUUUUAUGGCUGUGGAGUGAGAUUUGUGGGCGUGGGAGCGAUAUAUUCAAGCGAGGUUCUGUCGAUCAGGGAGGAGGUCUGCACUCUAGCUUUUCAAAUCCUCACUCUAGCCUCUCCAAUACACCCCUAUUGUAAAGCCUGAAAUUUGCUGAAAACCACAAGUUGCAUAAAGCUAAACUGUGGAAAAACUGUAAAAGAUAGCACAAAGAGGUUAAUACAACAUCAAUAGUCGACAAGACAAUGAACAUUUUAAAGCAAAAAUGAGGUCUCUAGGUGAAAGUAUGCUGAAGUUAUAAGGCUUAGAAGGUGGACGAAUAACAGGAAGAAGUGGAAGAUUUCCCCAUUCAUUCCUAUGGGAAAAAAAGUUUGGCACAAAAAGUGAAAAAUAAUAAAAAGUACAAAGGAUAGAAAGGAAAAAAAUACAAGCACACAUGUCCUGAUGGAGUGGAAUAGUUUAAAGUUUAAACGGUUGAAAUCGGACAAAUUUUGAAGGAGGAGAAGCGGUCCAAAGAAAUGUAUGGGGAGAGUGUUAAGUAUAAUACUAGAAAAAUUGCAUUUCCUUGCAGAAAAUGCGUGGAAAUGCUGAGUGCUGAAAGCUGAAAAAGCAAUGCUAAACUGCUAAUAAAACAUGGAGAAAGGUAUAAAUGUUAAAGCUGUUGAAGGGGUGAAAAAGAAAUAUAAGUUGGAUAAUGGUCUAAUUGGUUGAAGGACAAAUAGUAUGAAUAUGCUCUAUAAAUGGAAGUUUUAUUCAUGCUGAAAGAGGCUAGAAAAAUGUCUACAAUUGCACAAAGUUUGAAUGAAGAAGGAAACUUCCUUAAAAGGCAGGAAGGUGAGAAGUGGCAUAAGUUUAAGUUGUAGUACUAGAAGUAGUAUAAUAGGUCAAGUCGUGAUACUAGUAGUCAUGUCAGCAGUAGAAGUAGUUUGAGAAUAAAAGAAGUAUAAGUCACAAUAGUAGAGAAAGUAGAAAUAGGAGCAAUAGCAGUUGAAGUAGAGGGGAUAGUACUAGUUUAAUUGACAUUAGCGGUAGUUGUCGUACUUGAGGUAGGAUUUUGUUUGAAGGAUGGAGUAAUGCAUAAAUAUUAAAACUUAUUUCAAACAGGGAAAAUUGAAAUAAUUAAAAAUCCUCAAGAAUCAGAAAGUUUUUAAGUAUUAGAAAGGUUUGAAUCAGUUUGAAUGAGUUUCAAUUAGUUUGAAAAAAUAAAUGAUAAAUCAUCACUGAGUGACUUUAAAAUGUGAAAAAUUUAAAUGAAUAUAAAUCCUAAAUACACCCCAUAAUGUCCUCAAUGAGCUUAAAUUUUAAAGCCCUGAAUGGUUUCUGUAGGUCAAAGGUCAUGUGAGGAGAUAGGGGCUGAAGUUUUUUCAAGCGCUCUAGGAAAGGGUUUUAAGUGUCAUCCCCAGUGCUGUGUGUACUGAGCCUGGCUUCAUGUGUCUCAUAUGGCCAUUAGAAGCAGCUUUCCAGUCAGCUGUGUGUCUCCAGGUGCACAAGUUGGUUGCCAUGGGGACCUUGGAUGCAUAACUAUAGCAGGAGAAAGAAGGCUUGAAGCUAAAGAAACAGGACUCCAAGUAGGCCCUGACGCUCACCCUCUGUAUAUAUUCAUAAGGAGCUUGUGAGAACACAAGACUCUGCUGAACACAUUAAUACAAUUUAUUAUCACAAUCCUCAAAACACCCCAUAAUAUCUUCAAUGAGCUGAAUUUUUGAAGCCCAGAAUGGUUUCUGUAGCUCAAAGUUUGUGGGUGGAGAUAGGUGGUAAAGCAGACACAUAUUAACUGUGUGUAAAAGCAGCUGAACUGCAAGGUGGACCUCAAAAAGCAACAAGUACAAGAAUGUGUGUGCGUGUGUGUGUGUGUGUGUGUCUCGUUAAUGACUGCAUCCUAAACAGCUGUGAGAUCAAAGGCAAAUCACUGACCUACUGUUUGACUGAGAGGUGCUGAACUGCAGUGAAUUAAGGGUUCUGAACUUCUUCACAUAGCACGAUUUCCUUAAGUCCCAGAAUGAAAAUAAGAACAUCGUACAAAUCCUCCGCCCUUCAUGAACACAAUGAUGUGUUUUUCAUGUCUGUACUCCGAAAAAUGUGGCCACAACAGCGAGUUAAAAAAGUCUGAGCCUGAGUGGCGAUAAGGAUUUUCUUGGAGAAAAAAUACAUUAGAGCCAAUGGGGAGAGAUUUCCGCCUAUUUGGACAGUUGGUCACCUGCUGGCCAAGGGGUAAGAUUUAAUGAUUUGAAACCUCUUUUGUGAGAAGCAGGACACAUAUACCUCCAUUUUGAUGUAUUUUUUAUGGCUGUGGAGUGAGAUUUGUGGGCGUGGGAGCGAUAUAUUCGAGCGAGGUUCUGUCGAUCAGAGAGGAGGUCUGCACUCUAGCUUUUCAAAUCAUCACUCUAGCCUCUCCAAUACACCCCUAUUAUAAAGCCUGAAAUUAGCUGAAAACCACAAGUUGCAUAAAGCUAAAUUGUGGAAAAACUGUAAAAGAUAGCACAAAAAGGUUAAUACAACAUCAAUAGUCGACAAGACAAUGAACAUUUUAAAGCAAAAAUGAGGUCUCUAGGUGAAAGUAUGCUGAAGUUAUAAGGCUUAGAAGGUGGACGAAUAACAGGAAGAAUUGGAAGAUUUCCCCAUUCAUUUCUAUGGGAAAAAAAGUUUGGCACAAAAAGUGAAAAAUAAUAAAAAGUAUAAAGGAUAGAAAAGAGAAAAGUAAUAGCCAUCAUGUCCUGAAGGAGUGGAAUAGUUUAAAGUUUGAACGGUUGAAAUCGGACAAAGUUUGAAGGAGGAGAAGCGGUCCAAAGAAACGUAUGGGGAGAGUGUUAAGUAUAAUACUAGAAAAAUUGCAUUUCCUUGCAGAAAAUGCGUGGAAAUGCUGAGUGCUGAAAGCUGAAAAAGCAAUGCUAAACUGCUAAUAAAACAUGGAGAAAUGUAUAAAUGUUAAAGCUGUUGAAGGGGUGUGAAAGAAAUGUAAGUUGGAUAAUUGAUUAAUUGGUUGAAGGACAAAUAGUAUGAAUAUGCUCUAUAAAAAGAAAUUUUAUUCAUGCUGAAAGAGGCUAGAAAAAUGUCUAAAAUUGCACAAAGUUUGAAUGAAGAAGGAAAUUGCCUCAAAAGGCAGGAAAGUGAGAAGUGGUAUAAGAUUAAUUUUUUAAGUAUUAGAAAGGUUUGAAUCAGUUUAAAUGAGUUCAAAUUAGUUUGAAUAAUUAAAUGAUAAAUCAUCACUGACUGACUUUUAAAAUGUGAAAAAUUUAAAUGAAUAACAAUCCUAAAUACACCCAAUAAUGUCCUCAAUGAGCUCAAAUUUUAAAGCCCUGAAUGGUUUCUGUAGGUCAAAGGUCAUGUGAGGAGAUAGGGGCUGAAGGUUUUUCAAGCGCUCUAGGAAAGGGUUUUAAGUGUCAUCCCCAGUGCUAUGUGUGCUGAGCCUAGCUUCAUGUGUCUCAUAUGGCCAUUAGAAGCAGCUUUCCAGUCAGCUGUGUGUCUCCAGGUGCACUAAUUGGUUGCCAUGGGGACCUUGGAUGCAUAACUAUAGCAGGAGAAAGAAGGCUUGAAGCUAAGGAAACAGGGCUCCAAGUAGGCCCUGACGCUCAUCCUCUGUAUCUAUUCCUGAUAAGGAGCUUGUGAGAACACAAGACUCUGCUAAACACAUUAAUACAAUUUAUUAUCACAAUCCUCAAAACACCCCAUAAUAUCUUCAAUGAGCUGAAUUUUAGAAGCCCAGAAUGGUUUCUGUAGCUCAAAGUUUGUGGGUGGAGAUAGGUGGCGAAGCAGACACAUAUUAACUGUGUGUACAAGCAGCUGAACUGCAAGGUAGACCUCAUAAAGCAACAAGUACAAGAAUGUGUGUGUGUGUGUGUGUGUGUCUCGUUAAUGACUGCAUCCUAAACAGCUGUAAGAUCAAAGCCAUGAACUGACCUAUUGUUUGAAUGGAGAAGCUGCUGAACUGCAGUGAAUUUAGGGUUCUGAACUUCUUCACAUAGCACGAUUUCCUUAAGUCCCAGAAUGAAAAUAAGAACAUCGUACAAAUCCUCCGCCCUUCAUGAACACAAUGAUGUGUUUUUCAUGUCUGUACUCCGAAAAAUGUCGCCACAACAGCGAGUUAAAAAAGUCUGAGCCUGAGUGGCGAUAAGGAUUUUCUUGGAGAAAAAAUACAUUAGAGCCAAUGGGGAGAGAUUUCCACCUAUUUGGACAGUUGGUCACCUGCUGGCCAAGGGGUAAGAUUUAAUGAUUUGAAACCUCUUUUGUGAGAAGCAGGACACAUAUACCUCCAUUUUGAUGUAUUUUUUAUGGCUGUGGAGUGAGAUUUGUGGGCGUGGGAGCGAUAUAUUCGAGCGAGGUUCUGUCGAUCAGAGAGGAGGUCUGCACUCUAGCUUUUCAAAUCAUCACUCUAGCCUCUCCAAUACACCCCUAUUAUAAAGCCUGAAAUUAGCUGAAAACCACAAGUUGCAUAAAGCUAAAUUGUGGAAAAACUGUAAAAGAUAGCACAAAAAGGUUAAUACAACAUCAAUAGUCGACAAGACAAUGAACAUUUUAAAGCAAAAAUGAGGUCUCUAGGUGAAAGUAUGCUGAAGUUAUAAGGCUUAGAAGGUGCACGAAUAACAGGAAGAAUUGGAAGAUUUCCCCAUUCAUUUCUAUGGGAAAAAAGUUUGGAACAAAAAGUGAAAAAUAAUAAAAAGUACAGAGGAUAGAAAGGAAAAAAAUACAAGCACACAUGUCCUGAUGGAGUGGAAUAGUUUAAAGUUUGAACGGUUGAAAUCGGACAAAGUUUGAAGGAGGAGAAGCGGUCCAAAGAAACGUAUGGGGAGAGUGUUAAGUAUAAUACUAGAAAAAUUGCAUUUCCUUUCAGAAAAUGCGUGGAAAUGCUGAGUGCUGAAAGCUGAAAAAGCAAUGCUAAACUGCUAAUAAAACAUGGAGAAAGGUAUAAAUGUUAAAGCUGUUGAAGGGGUGAAAAAGAAAUAUAAGUUGGAUAAUGGUCUAAUUGGUUGAAGGACAAAUAGUAUGAAUAUGCUCUAUAAAUGGAAGUUUUAUUCAUGCUGAAAGAGGCUAGAAAAAUGUCUACAAUUGCACAAAGUUUGAAUGAAGAAGGAAACUGCCUUAAAAGGCAGGAAGGUGAGAAGUGGCAUAAGUUUAAGUUGUAGUACUAGAAGUAGUAUAAUAGGUCAAGUCGUGAUACUAGUAGUCAUGUCAGCAGUAGAAGUAGUUUGAGAAUAAAAGAAGUAUAAGUCACAAUAGUAGAGAAAGUAGAAAUAGGAGCAAUAGUAGUUGAAGUAGAGGGGAUAGUACUAGUUUAAUUGACAUUAGCGGUAGUUGUCGUACUUGAGGUAGGAUUUUGUUUGAAGGAUGGAGUAAUGCAUAAAUAUUAAAACUUAUUUCAAACAGGGAAAAUUGAAAUAAUUAAAAAUCCUCAAGAAUCAGAAAGUUUUUAAGUAUUAGAAAGGUUUGAAUCAGUUUGAAUGAGUUUCAACUAGUUUGAAAAAUAAAUGAUAAAUCAUCACUGAGUGACUUUAAAAUGUGAAAAAUUUAAAUGAAUAUAAAUCCUAAAUACACCCCAUAAUGUCCUCAAUGAGCUUAAAUUUUAAAGCCCUGAAUGGUUUCUGUAGGUCAAAGGUCAUGUGAGGAGAUAGGGGCUGAAGUUUUUUCAAGCACUCUAGGAAAGGGUUUUAAGUGUCAUCCCCAGUGCUAUGCGUACUAAGCCUGGCUUCAUGUGUCUCAUAUGGCCAUUAGAAGCAGCUUUCCAGUCAGCUGUGUGUCUCCAGGUGCACAAAUAUGUUGCCAUGGGGACCUUGGAUGCAUAACUAUAGCCGGAGAAAGAAGGCUUGAAGCUAAAGAAACAGGACUCCAAGUAGGCCCUGACGCUCACCCUCUGUAUAUAUUCAUAAGGAGCUUGUGAGAACACAAGACUCUGCUGAACACAUUAAUACAAUUUAUUAUCACAAUCCUCAAAACACCCCAUAAUGUCUUCAAUGAGCUGAAUUUUUGAAGCCCAGAAUGGUUUCUGUAGCUCAAAGUUUGUGGGUGGAGAUAGGUGGUGAAGCAGACACAUAUUAACUGUGUGUACAAGCAGCUGAACUGCAAGGUGGACCUCAAAAAGCAACAAGUACAAGAAUGUGUGUGCGUGUGUGUGUGUGUGUGUGUGUCUCGUUAAUGACUGCAUCCUAAACAGCUGUGAGAUCAAAGGCAAAUCACUAACCUACUGUUUGACUGAGAGGUGCUGAACUGCAGUGAAUUUCAGCCUGUGAACUUCUUCACAUAGCGUGAUUUCCUUAAGUCCCAGAAUGAAAAUAAGAACAUCGUACGAAUCCCCCGUCCUUCAUGAACACAAUGAUGUGUUUUUCAUGUCUCUACUUCGAAAAAUGAGGCCACAACAGCGAGUUAAAAAAGUCUGAGCCUGAGCGAUGAUCCGGAUUUUCUUGGAGAGAAAUAACAUUACAGUCAAUGGGAGAGAUUUCCGCCUUUUUUGGACAGUUGGUCACCUGCUGGCCAAGGGGUACGAUUUAAUGAUUUGAAACCUCUUUUGUGAGAAGCAGGACACAUAUACCUCCAUUUUGAUGUAUUAUUUGUGUCAGUGGAGUGAGAUUUGUGGGCGUGGGAGCGAUAUAUUCGAGCGAGGUUCUGUCGAUCAGAGACGAGGUCUGCACUCUAGCUGAUGACAUCAUCACUCUAAACUCUCCAAUACACACCCAUUAUAAAGCUUGAAAUUUGCUGAAAACCACAAGUUGCUUAAAGCUAAAUUGUGGAAGAACUGUAGAAGAUAUCAAAAAACUGAGUACAACUAUAAUAGUCGACAAGUGAAUGAACAUUUUAAAGCAAAAAUGAGGUCUCUAGGUGAAAGUAUGCUGAAGUUAUAAGACUUUGAAGGUGGAAGAAAAAAAGGAAGAAGUGGAAGAUUUCCCCAUUGACUUCAAUGUUAAAAUUUUUGCACAAAAAGUUAAAAAUAUCAAAAAGUAUAAAGGGUAGAAGAGUAAAAAGUAAUAGCCAUCAUGUCCUGAAGGAGUGGAAUAGUUUAAAGUUUGAACGGUUGAAAUCGGACAAAGUUUGAAGGAGGAGAAGCGCGGCAAAAAACGGCGGAAGAAUAAUAAGAAGAAUAAAGAAACAGGAGAAUAACAAUAAGUGGAAAUGCUUAAUCAGCAUUUCCACUUAAUAACUAGAAAAAUUGCAUUUCCUUGCAGAAAAUGCGUGGAAAUGCUGAGUGCUGAAAGCUGAAAAAGCAAUGCUAAACUGCUAAUAAAACAUGGAGAAAUGUAUAAAUGUUAAAGCUGUUGAAGGGGUGUGAAAGAAAUGUAAGUUGGAUAAUUGAUUAAUUGGUUGAAGGACAAAUAGUAUGAAUAUGCUCUAUAAAAAGAAAUUUUAUUCAUCCUGAAAGAGGCUAGAAAAAUGUCUAAAAUUGCACAAAGUUUGAAUGAAGAAGGAAAUUGCCUUUAAAGGCAGGAAGGUGAGAAGUGGCAUAAGUUUAAGUUGUAGUACUAGAAGAAGUAUGAUAAGAAGUCAAGUCGUGAUACUAGUAGUCAUGUCAGCAGUAGAAGUAGAUUGAGAAUAAAAGAAGUAUAAGUCAAAGUAGUAAAGAAAGUAGAAAUAGUAGCAAUAGCAGCAGUAGAGAAAGUAGAAAUAGGAGCAAUAGCAGUUGAAGUAGAGGGGAAAGUUCUAGUUUAAUUGACAUAAGUAGUUGUAGUACUAGAGGUAGGAUUUUGUUUGAAGGACGGAUUAAUGCAUAAAUAUUAAAAAUAAUAUAAAACAGGGAAAAUUUUAUUAAUUAAAAAUCCUCAAGUAUCAGACAGUUUUUAAGUAUUAGAAAGGUUUGAAUCAUUUUGAAUGAGUUUAAAUUAGUUUGAAAAAUUAAAUGAUAAAUUAUCACUGAGUGACUUUAAAAUGUGAAACAUUUAAAUGAAUAUAAAUCCUAAAUACACCCCAUAAUGUCCUCAAUGAGCUUAAAUUUUAAAGCCCUGAAUGGUUUCUGUAGGUCAAAGGUCAUGUGAGGAGAUAGGGGCUGAAGGUUUUUCAAGCGCUCUAGGAAAGGGUUUUAAGUGUCAUCCCCAGUGCUAUGUGUACUGAGCCUGGCUUCAUGUGUCUCAUAUGGCCAUUAGAAGCAGCUUUCCAGUCAGCUGUGUGUCUCCAGGUGCACAAAUUGGUUGCCAUGGGGACCUUGGAUGAAUAACUAUAGCAGGAGAAAGAAGGCUUGAAGCUAAGGAAACAGGAGUCCAAGUAGGCCCUGACGCUCAUCCUCUGUAUCUAUUCCUGAUAAGGAGCUUGUGAGAACACAAGACUCUGCUAAACACAUUAAUACAAUUUAUUAUCACAAUCCUCAAAACACCCCAUAAUAUCUUCAAUGAGCUGAAUUUUUGAAGCCCAGAAUGGUUUCUGUAGCUCAAAGUUUGUGGGUGGGGAUAGGUGGCGAAGCAGACACAUAUUAACUGUGUGUACAAGCAGCUGAACUGCAAGGUAGACCUCAUAAAGCAACAAGUACAAGAAUGUGUGUGUGUGUGUGUGUGUGUGUCUCGUUAAUGACUGCAUCCUAAACAGCUGUGAGAUCAAAGGCAAAUCACUGACCUACUGUUUGAAUGAGAAGCAGCUGAACUGCAGAGGAUUUAGAGGCUCUAAACUUCUUCACAUAGCGUGAUUUCCUUAAGUCACAGAAUGAAAAUAAGAACAUCGUACGAAUCCUCCGCCCUUCAUGAACACAAUGAUGUAUUUUUCAUGUCUGUACUCCGACAAAUGUGGCCACAACAGCGAGUUAAAAAAGUCUGAGCCUGAGCGAUGAUCCGGAUUUUCUUGGAGAAAAAUAACAUUAUGGUCAAUGGGAGAGAUUUCCGCCUUCUUUGGACAGUUGGUCACCUGCUGGCCAAGGGGUACGAUUUAAUGAUUUGAAACCUCUUUUGUGAGAAGCAGGACACAUAUACCUCCAUUUUGAUGUAUUAUUUGUGUCAGUGGAGUGAGAUUUGUGGGCGUGGGAGCGAUAUAUUCGAGCGAGGUUCUGUCGAUCAGAGACGAGGUCUGCACUCUAGCUGAUGACAUCAUCACUCUAAACUCUCCAAUACACACCCAUUAUAAAGCCUGAAAAUUUGCUGAAAACCACAAGUUGCUUAAAGCUAAAUUG